UAAUACUUAAUACAACCAUAACUUUGGGUAUAUUUAAACCCUAUCUAUGCAUUACAUUUUAUGGAUGCUAAACAUGGUGAAUAUUGGUGUUGGAAAAUUGCUUUUUUUAGCUCUGUUGCUAGUGACUGCAUCUGGAACAAUGGAGUUGAAACCGUGUGGGCUAUGGUCGUGCGACUUUGAUGAAGACUGCUGGGACCCACGUUGUGGGCUUAAGUGUCUUAACUUCACUACUUCUGCCUCAGGGAUCAUUCUGCAGCUGUGUGCAAAUCCUCCACCAUAUCUAUAAUCUAUCUUACAUGUUACCAUGUAUUAAAAGAAAAGUGAAUGUAAAUAAAUUCAACGAUCAGAAGAAAAUUAUUCACUAUUAAAUUAAAA